GAUGAACGCUGGCGGCGUGCCUAAUACAUGCAAGUCGAGCGAACAGACGAGGAGCUUGCUCCUUCGACGUUAGCGGCGGACGGGUGAGUAACACGUAGGUAACCUACCUAUAAGACUGGGAUAACUCCGGGAAACCGGAGCUAAUACCGGAUAAUAUUUCGAACCGCAUGGUUCGAUAGUGAAAGACGGCUUUGCUAUCACUUAUAGAUGGACCUGCGCCGUAUUAGCUAGUUGGUAAGGUAACGGCUUACCAAGGCAACGAUACGUAGCCGACCUGAGAGGGUGAUCGGCCACACUGGAACUGAGACACGGUCCAGACUCCUACGGGAGGCAGCAGUAGGGAAUCUUCCGCAAUGGGCGAAAGCCUGACGGAGCAACGCCGCGUGAGUGAUGAAGGUCUUCGGAUCGUAAAACUCUGUUAUUAGGGAAGAACAAACGUGUAAGUAACUGUGCACGUCUUGACGGUACCUAAUCAGAAAGCCACGGCUAACUACGUG
rnacentral:rRNA from 1 species